rnacentral:rRNA from 1 species
UACGGAGGGGGUUAGCGUUGUUCGGAAUUACUGGGCGUAAAGCGCACGUAGGCGGAUUAGUAAGUUAGAGGUGAAAUCCCAGGGUCAACCCUGGAACUGCCUUUAAUACUGCUAGUCUUGAGUUCGAGAGAGGUAAGUGGAAUUCCGAGUGUAGAGGUGAAAUUCGUAGAUAUUCGGAGGAACACCAGUGGCGAAGGCGGCUUACUGGCUCGAUACUGACGCUGAGGUGCGAAAGUGU